rnacentral:sRNA from 1 species
AUAAACUUUUAAAUAUAUAUCUAUAAUUUAAACCACAAAAAAGAAAAAAGAAGGAUAUUUCCCCAAUUCGAAAUGUAAGGCUUUUCUGGACAAAGAAUCAAGAAUACGGUUUAAAUUGUUAAAUGGAGAAAUGAAUGGGUCAUUAAUCUAUAAAUAUGAAGAUAUAAAGAGGAAAGAAUACGGUUUAAAUUGUUAAAUGGAGAAAUGAAUGGGUCAUUAAUCUAUAAAUAUGAAGAUAUAAAGAGGAAAACUGUCAAGGAGCGGGUAGGGGUCAAU